rnacentral:rRNA from 1 species
GGUCUGAUACAUUCGUGGGUAAAGUCAACCAGCUCAACUGGUUGAAUUCUGCGAGGACGGUCAGACUUGGGACCGGGAGAGGUGUGGGGUACGCUCAGGGUAGGGGUAAAAUCCUGUCAUCCUGAGCGGACCACCUGUUGCGAAGGCGCCACACUAGAACGGAUCCGACGGUCAGGGACGAAGCCUAGGGGCACGAACCGGAUUAGAUACCCGGGUAGUCCUAGGUGUAAACGCUGUGGACUUGAUGUUGGGGGUGCUCCGAGCACUCUCAGUGUCGAAGGCGAAAGGUGAUAAGUCCACUGCGCUGGGAAUACGGUCGCAAGGCUGAA